CACUCUCUUCUCAUACUCCUUAUCCCUGAUAACAUAGGGAUUAGAAUUCAAACCUGCUUCUACAAUUCCUUGCUAUCCUCCCUCUCCUGUCACUUUUGCAUUGAUAAUCCCUCCCUCUUGCUCUUUGGAAAUUUCACAACAAGUAGUUGGAGCCUCAGAACCAGGAUUAUUAUCAGGUUUAGAAACUGGAGACAGCGGCAUGUUUAGAGAAGCUUUUUCUUUUUUGAAGUAUAAGGCUAUAUCGGGUUGUGUGCAUGGUAGAGGGCUAAGUUGGGGUUGCUCGAGGAGCUACUAUUCAUGAGAUCCUUGUGAUCCAUGCAUUUAAUGAGAGUUCGCGGUCUUGAGAAGAGAUAACAAACCAGUGCUUGGCACGUUACCAAUACGCGCAGCCUCAACGACUGCUAUUUGGGAAACAUCUGGACUCCGAUGCAAAUGUGGUGGCAAAAGGGAAAGUUGUUUCUGAUUGGAAAUCUGGUUCUGUUGAUAUAGAGAAGAGAAAGUUCUUGGUUUAAAGGUGACUAUGCCGUUAACCGUGGCCCGUAUUUCAAAGGGCUUUCAAUUCUUUCUCCUUGGGACAGAACAGCUGCACUUUCAGGACACCCUUUGAUAAUAUGCCUAAUCCUCCCACAAAAGAAACAGAUUAUGGCUAACUUCGAUUAUGGGUAACUUCGAUUACUUAAAGUUAAUCUAAUCUCUUCUUGUACCCUAUUUAAUCUCUUCUUGUACCCUCCUUGGUCUAAUGAAAACCUGUCAAAACAGGCUAAUCCACUUACACCCACACUUUGAUUCGAAAGAAAGCCCUCCAUUCUUUAACAUUCCCUUGAUUUGUAUCACUUUAAUCAGCACUGUAAACAAACCACAAAUACAUUCUUCAUUUUCAGAAUUCUACAUAUUUGGAGGGAGACAAUACACUUGAAGUCAAAACCCACAUGUAGUAAAAUCAAUUUCCUCGAUUGCUUUGUCUGGAGGCCAUUUUUUAAGAAUCAUGAGAUUAUUAUCUAUAAGCCAAGACGACUCCUCUGUAAUUCUUUCCUUGAUUUGUCCUUCUUCAAAGACAACAAUGAACAAACCUUCUGGACCCUUUUCACAGAAAUAUCUGUUAGCUUCCAUAUUUAGCUCAGAGUCGUUUUUAAAACCCAGAGAUUAUACUCCUUUUUAGCUACAAUCUUGAGAAUGAGUUUGUUAUAAAUAAAACUUUGUCCAACUUCUUUCGCAGGAAAAAGUUCCAAGAAAGGUUCCUACUCAAUGAUUGGUUAGGUAUAGACAUAAUGAAAAGUGUUUGAGAUUGAGAACUUAGAGAAAGGUCGGUGUAGGGG
rnacentral:misc_RNA from 1 species